rnacentral:rRNA from 1 species
UACGGGGGGAGCAAGCGUUGUUCGGAUUUACUGGGCGUAAAGGGCGUGUAGGCGGCCACCGCAAGUCGGUUGUGAAAUCUCCGGGCUUAACCCGGAAAGGUCAACCGAUACUGCGGGGCUAGAGUGCAGAAGGGGCAACUGGAAUUCUCGGUGUAGCGGUGAAAUGCGUAGAUAUGACAUAGAACACCGAUAGCGAAGGCAGCUUACUACAGGAAGAUUGACGCUGAGGCACGAAAGCGUGGGGAGCAAACAGG